rnacentral:rRNA from 1 species
GAGUUUGAUUCUGGCUCAGAAUGAACGCUGGCGGCAUGGAUUAGGCAUGCAAGUCGAACGGUGACAUCAAGUUUACUUGAUCGAUCAGUGGCGAAAGGGUGAGUAACGCGUGAACAAUCUGCCCUGAAGUUCGGGAUAGCACUAGUUAAACGUGGAUUAAUACCGGAUGUGGCGCACCUCCGCAUGGUGGUGCUGCCAAAGGCUCCGGCCGCUUCAGGAUGAGUUCGCGUCCCAUUAGCUUGUUGGUGAGGUAACGGCUCACCAAGGCGACGACGGGUAGCUGGUCUGAGAGGAUGGUCAGCCACACUGGGACUGAGACACUGCCCAGACUCCUACGGGAGGCUGCAGUCGAGAAUCUUCCGCAAUGGGCGAAAGCCUGACGGAGCAAUGCCGCGUGAGGGAUGACGGCCUUCGGGUUGUAAACCUCUGUCAACAGGGACGAAUCAUUGACGGUACCUGUAGAGGAAGCCACGGCUAACUACGUGCCAGCAGCCGCGGUAAUACGUAGGUGGCGAGCGUUAUUCGGAUUCACUGGGCGUAAAGGGUUCGCAGGGGGUCUGCUAAGUCUGAUGUGAAAGCCCACGGCUCAACCGUGGAA